rnacentral:rRNA from 1 species
AGAACGAACGCUGGCGGCAUGCCUAAUACAUGCAAGUCGAACGAACUCUUCGGAGUUAGUGGCGCACGGGUGCGUAACGCGUGGGAAUCUGCCCCUUGGUUCGGAAUAACAGUUGGAAACGACUGCUAAUACCGGAUGAUGACGAAAGUCCAAAGAUUUAUCGCCAAGGGAUGAGCCCGCGUAGGAUUAGCUAGUUGGUGAGGUAAAGGCUCACCAAGGCAACGAUCCUUAGCUGGUCUGAGAGGAUGAUCAGCCACACUGGGACUGAGACACGGCCCAGACUCCUACGGGAGGCAGCAGUAGGGAAUAUGGACAAUGGGCGAAAGCCUGAUCCAGCAAUGCCGCGUGAGUGAUGAAGGCUUAGGGUUGUAAAGCUCGUUUACCGAGAUGAUAAUGACAGUAUCGGAAGAACGUAACGACCCCGGACUAACCGUCCGUACGACCGAGCGACGCCGGAC